rnacentral:tRNA from 1 species
GGAGAGGUGGCAGAGUGGUCGAAUGUACUAGUCUUGAAAACUAGCGUAACUGAAAGGUUACCGAGGGUUCGAAUCCCUCCUUCUCCG